UACAGAGGGUGCGAGCGUUGUCCGGAAUCACUGGGCGUAAAGGGUGCGUAGGCGGUCGGGUAAGUCUGAUGUGAAAUCUCACAGCUUAACUGUGAAACUGCAUUGGAUACUAUCCGGCUCGAGGAAUGGAGGGGAGACUGGAAUACUUGGUGUAGCAGUGAAAUGCGUAGAUAUCAAGUGGAACACCAGUGGCGAAGGCGAGUCUCUGGACAUUUCCUGACGCUGAGGCACGAAAGCCAGGGGAGCAAGCGGG
rnacentral:rRNA from 1 species